rnacentral:rRNA from 1 species
UGGGGAAUCUUGCGCAAUGGGCGGAAGCCUGACGCAGCGACGCCGCGUGCGGGAGGAAGGCCCUCGGGUCGUAAACCGCUUUCAGCAGGGACGAGGCCGCAAGGUGACGGUACCUGCAGAAGAAGCCCCGGCUAACUACGUGCCAGCAGCCGCGGUAAUACGUAGGGGGCGAGCGUUAUCCGGAUUCAUUGGGCGUAAAGCGCUCGUAGGCGGCCUGCUAGGUCGGGAGUCAAAUGCGGGGGCCCAACCCCGGCCGCUCCCGAUACCGGCGGGCUUGAGUUUGGUAGGGGAAGGCGGAAUUCCCGGUGUAGCGGUGGAAUGCGCAGAUAUCGGGAAGAACACCGGUGGCGAAGGCGGCCUUCUGGGCCACAACUGACGCUGAGGAGCGAAAGCUGGGGGAGCGAACAGGAUUAGAUACCCUGGUAGU